rnacentral:rRNA from 1 species
GAUGAACGCUGGCGGCGUGCCUAAUACAUGCAAGUCGAGCGAACAGACGAGGAGCUUGCUCCUCUGACGUUAGCGGCGGACGGGUGAGUAACACGUGGAUAACCUACCUAUAAGACUGGGAUAACUUCGGGAAACCGGAGCUAAUACCGGAUAAUAUAUUGAACCGCAUGGUUCAAUAGUGAAAGACGGUUUUGCUGUCACUUAUAGAUGGAUCCGCGCCGCAUUAGCUAGUUGGUAAGGUAACGGCUUACCAAGGCAACGAUGCGUAGCCGACCUGAGAGGGUGAUCGGCCACACUGGAACUGAGACAUGGUCCAGACUCCUACGGGAGGCAGCAGUAGGGAAUCUUCCGCAAUGGGCGAAAGCCUGACGGAGCAACACCGCGUGAGUGAUGAAGGUCUUCGGAUCGUAAAACUCUGUUAUUAGGGAAGAACAAAUGUGUAAGUAACUAUGCACGUCUUGACGGUACCUAAUCAGAAAGCCACGGCUAACUACGUG